GUGGAGCUGGAAAGGUGGAGGCGGAAGUGACUGAUCAAUUCAGGGGUGUGGGGUUCGUUUAGGUUUUGCCCUGUGUAUGACCUCUUUUGGAGCCAUGAAACCAGAGUUUCACUCUUGUUGACCAAGCUGCAGUGCAAUGGCGUGAUCUCGGCUCACUGCAAUCUCUGCCUCCCAGGUUCAAGUGAUUCUCCUGCCUCAGCCUUCUGAGUAGAUGGGAUUACAGGUGGCUUUUCUACAAUAUAAAGAUGGAAAUGGGAUGAAGAUGUUCAUUGCAAAUUAGGAAAGCUCUUCCACAAGUUCACCAAUGGAAAUAACAUCAAGAGUUUUUCAUCGUCUUAGUGUGCAAGAUGUCUGAGGAAUAGUCUUAGUGGAUUAUCCCAAACUUGACACAUUUUUUGCAAAAUGCUAUACAAAAAGAAGAUACAUGUGAUUAUGACAAGAUUCUCCACUUGGUGUGACCGGUCUCAUACAACCCAAGGCUGUGUGUCCAAACGCAAUUGCACUGAAUACUGGAAAGCAUUUAUUUGUUUGCUAAAUUGCUCUCUUUCCACCAGUGAUAUCGAUUCUGAAAUACUUUUUAGAUCUUGACAAUAAUCAAAAUGUAGCCAGGUGCAUUGG
rnacentral:lncRNA from 1 species